UUACGGCCAUAUCAUGUUGGAACAGUAGUUCUCGUACGAUCAAAGAAGUUAAGCAACGUCGAGCCUUGUCAGUGCCUAGCUGGGAGACCGUUUAGGAAGACCAGGUGAUGU